CGUGUAGGCGGUCGGCCAAGUCCGAUGUGAAAGCCCGAGGCUCAGCCUCGGAAGUGCGUCGGAAACUAGUCGGCUGGAGCGCGAUAGAGGAGGGUGGAAUUCCUGGUGUAGCGGUGAAAUGCGUAGAUAUCAGGAGGAACACCGGCGGCGAAGGCGGCCCUCUGGAUCGUUGCUGACGCUGAGACGCGAAAGCGUGGGGAGCAAACAGGAUUAGAUACCCUGGUAGUCCACGCUGUAAACGAUGGGUACUAGGUGUUCGGGGUAUUGACCCCCUGAGUGCCGCAGCUAACGCAUUAAGUACCCCGCCUGGGGACUACGGCCGCAAGGUUAAA
rnacentral:rRNA from 1 species